AACGAACGCUGGCGGCAGGCCUAACACAUGCAAGUCGAACGCUGUAGCAAUACAGAAUGGCAGACGGGUGAGUAACGCGUGGGAACCUUCCCAAUGGUGCGGAAUAGCCCAGGGAAACUUGGGGUAAUACCGCAUAAGCCCUUAGGGGGAAAGAUUUAUCGCCAUUGGAUGGGCCCGCGUCGGAUUAGCUUGUUGGUGAGGUAAUGGCUCACCAAGGCAACGAUCCAUAGCUGGUUGGAGAGAAUGACCAGCCACACUGGGACUGAGACACGGCCCAGACUCCUACGGGAGGCAGCAGUGAGGAAUUUUGGACAAUGGGCGCAAGCCUGAUCCAGCCAUGCCGCGUGAGUGGCGAAGGCCUUAGGGUUGUAAAGCUCUUUUGCCGGGGACGAUAAUGACGGUACCUGAAGAAUAAGCACCGGCUAACUACGUGCCAGCCGCCGCGGUAA
rnacentral:rRNA from 1 species